rnacentral:rRNA from 1 species
UCAUCUUCGGGGGUAGAGCACUGUUUCGGCUAGGGGGUCAUCCCGACUUACCAACCCGAUGCAAACUACGAAUACCGAAGAAUGUUAUCACGGGAGACACACGGCGGGUGCUAACGUCCGUCGUGAAGAGGGAAACAACCCAGACCGCCAGCUAAGGUCCCAAAGUCACAGUUAAGUGGGAAACGAUGUGGGAAGGCACAGACAGCCAGGAUGUUGGCUUAGAAGCAGCCAUCAUUUAAAGAAAGCGUAAUAGCUCACUGGUCGAGUCGGCCUGCGCGGAAGAUGUAACGGGGCUAAACUGUGCACCGAAGCUGCGGCAGCGACACUAUGUGUUGUUGGGUAGGGGAGCGUUCUGUAAGCCUGCGAAGGUGGCCUGUGAGGGUUGCUGGAGGUAUCAGAAGUGCGAAUGCUGACAUAAGUAACGAUAAUGCGGGUGAAAAGCCCGCACGCCGGAAGACCAAGGGUUCCUGUCCAACGUUAAUCGGGGCAGGGUGAGUCGACCCCUAAGGCGAGGCCGAAAGGCGUAGUCGAUGGGAAACAGGUUAAUAUUCCUGUACUUGGUGUUACUGCGAAGGGGGGACGGAGAAGGCUAUGUUAGCCGGGCGACGGUUGUCCCGGUUUAAGCAUGUAGGCGGAGGUUCCAGGUAAAUCCGGUACCUUUUUAACGCUGAGGUGUGAUGACGAGGCACUACGGUGCUGAAGUAACAAAUGCCCUGCUUCCAGGAAAAGCCUCUAAGCAUCAGGUAACAUU